rnacentral:lncRNA from 1 species
GAAAAGACAAUAGUGUGAAAGCCGUCGUUGUAAAAAUUCGAGUAAACUGGAAUAUUACAGAUAAAGCCCGUGAGGUACUAAAGUAAACAUCCACAACUCUCGAAAUCCUGCAGAUAAGAUGAUUUUGAAUCAGUGAGUAGGUUCCUUCGACCAAUCCUUGGAAACUACUGGUAUUAGCAAUAUUUUGGAGAUCCGAACUCUUAGCUUGGGUACGGUCCAGAUUUCACCGAGCACUCCAGUAUAAAUAAGUCUUACAACUCCCUAA